rnacentral:piRNA from 1 species
CAGGCCAAAGGUGACUGUUUUGUGUGUAGC